ACUGCUUCCUGUGGUACAGCCUCUGUCACCAAGACAGGGGUAUUCUGACUUUUUUCAACAAUUUACUUUGAAUAGAUAUAGUAAUGGGGACGUCCAGCCACAAAUUUCCUUUCAUUUGGAGCUCUGAAGGGUAAAGAUGAACUACAGGUAAAAGGUAUUGAGAGGGCGUAUCCUUUUACAAUGAGAGCUCUGAAAAUAUUGUGGCCACUCUACUAAUGGAGGCUUAGAAAGCUGAGAGGCUGUCUGCUGUAUUCUGAACUGUGGUUCUGAAGAGGUGGAACACACUGCACUUGAGCCAGGGUCUUGGGAAAAGCUGAGGCUAGAGGAUGUGCAUGGUCUGGCUUGAGACCCCUAGUCCACUUGGGAUGCUGAUGAGGUUCCAGAAAGAACCAAAAGAAUACCCUGGGUGAUUUGGCUAUAACUCUCCACCAUAUUUUGUCUAAUAAAGGAGGCAUAGAUUUCCUCAGACUUUCAGAGCCUCUCUCAGACAGGUCCUGACUCAUUUC
rnacentral:lncRNA from 1 species